AACGAACGCUGGCGGCAUGCCUAACACAUGCCAGUCGAACGAGACCUUCGGGUCUAGUGGCGCACGGGUGCGUAACGCGUGGGAACCUACCCUUAGGUUCGGAAUAACUCCCCGAAAGGGGUGCUAAUACCGGAUAAUGUCUUCGGACCAAAGAUUUAUCGCCUUUGGAUGGGCCCGCGUUGGAUUAGCUAGUUGGUAGGGUAAAAGCCUACCAAGGCGACGAUCCAUAGCUGGUCUGAGAGGAUGAUCAGCCACACUGGGACUGAGACACGGCCCAGACUCCUACGGGAGGCAGCAGUGGGGAAUAUUGGACAAUGGGCGAAAGCCUGAUCCAGCAAUGCCGCGUGAGUGAUGAAGGCCUUAGGGUUGUAAAGCUCUUUUACCCGGGAUGAUAAUGACAGUACCGGGAGAAUAAGCUCCGGCUAACUCCGUG
rnacentral:rRNA from 1 species